rnacentral:rRNA from 1 species
AUAGCGUAUAUUAAAGUUGUUGCAGUUAAAAAGCUCGUAGUUGAAUUUCGGGAUCAAUAUUUCGGUCAUGCCGUUGGUAUGCACUGUUAUCAUUGAUUUCUCACCUUCUAAAGAACCGUAAUGCCAUUAAUUUGGUGUUACGGGGAAUUAGGACUGUUACCUUGAAAAAAUUAGAGUGUUUAAAGCAGGCUCACGCUUGAAUACAUUAGCAUGGAAUAAUGAAAUAGGACAUCCGAUUCUAUUUUGUUGGUUUCUAGGAUCGAUGUAAUGAUUAAUAGGGAUAGUUGGGGGCAUUAGUAUUCAAUUGUCAGAGGUGAAAUUCUUGGAUUUAUUGAAGACUAACUACUG